GGAACACCAAACAGAAAAGAUGUAACUGGAUCUGCUUCUGUGUACAGACUGCAGGACCUGAAUGGGAGAAAACUCACCACCCCAUUCCCACUUCUAGCAAGAUCAAAAGGGGAAGAGUGCUAUCAAAAGUGCUAUGAAUGCCUCUCAAUCUGAUGGAGAGAGCCUAUCCACUAUACUGUUUACUGACAGAGCACACACCACUGAACAGCAGCCAUAUGUGGGGAG